rnacentral:rRNA from 1 species
GAUGAACGCUGGCGGCGUGCCUAAUACAUGCAAGUCGAGCGAACGGACGAGAAGCUUGCUUCUCUGAUGUUAGCGGCGGACGGGUGAGUAACACGUGGAUAACCUACCUAUAAGACUGGGAUAACUUCGGGAAACCGGAGCUCAUACCGGAUAAUAUUUUGAACCGCAUGGUUCAACAGUGAAAGCCGUUCUUGCUGUCACUUAUAGAUGUAUCCUCGCUGCAUUAGCUAGUUGGUAAGGUAACGGCUUACCAAGGCAACGAUGCAUAGCCGACCUGAGAGGGUGAUCGGCCACACUGGAACUGAGACACGGUCCAGACUCCUACGGGAGGCAGCAGUAGGGAAUCUUCCGCAAUGGGCGAAAGCCUGACGGAGCAACGCCGCGUGAGUGAUGAAGGUCUUCGGAUCGUAAAACUCUGUUAUUAGGGAAGAACAUAUGUGUAAGUAACUGUGCACAUCUUGACGGUACCUAAUCAGAAAGCCACGGCUAACUACGUG